rnacentral:lncRNA from 1 species
GGGGGGGCCCUGCUGCGCGGCGGAGCCCUAGAGGUACCGCGCGGGAAAGCGAACUCGUCCAGUGUGCAGAGCGUUCUCAGCCCGGCCGUCUGCCUGUCGCGCGUCUUCAGGCCUUCGGCUAUCCAGCAGGAGAAAAAGUGUGUUCAGACAUCAUAAAAUGGGCAUCUCCCAAGGUCAAAUUUCAACAUUGCUUGAGUGUCUUGGUUUUAAGCUUAUUUUUUUGUGAACUUUUCUGUUGUCUUCUCACCUAUACUCCCUGGCUAAGAGGUCAGGGGUAGCUAGUGUUCCCUUAAGUUCAUUUUAAAACUUUCCAUUGGUGCAUAAAUUGCAGCUGGAAGAUGCUGUCAAUAUUCUCACCAUCGAUGACCUUUGUUUGUGUAGUCCUUGAAUCCCCAAAGGAUUAGCCACUUUAAAAUUUCUACAGUGCAUGUAUCCAUUGUUCAUAAUCUUCAUGGAGUGGCAUGUAUUUGCAGUUUCU